rnacentral:lncRNA from 1 species
CUCCGGGCCCGCCCCCGCCCGGAGCCCCGCCGGCAAUGGCGCCCGCCGCCUCCCGGAGGUGAUGCCAGGCGAUGCCAGGCGAUGCCAGGCGAUGCCCGCCGGUCCCUUCCCGGUCCCGGCGCCUAUCACAGCAAAGCCGUCAGUCCCUCGCCCACCGCCCCCCUCUCCUCCUCGCCCGCAGAAAGGGGUGGGCACUGCCCCUGCCCCACCGGAGGAGGAGGAGGAAGAAAGGAGGAGGAGGGAGAGGGGCUUGGGGGCCACUAGGACCCCGGCCUCCUCCCGGUGAAGCCCAAGGAUGCUCCCCCUCCGAGCUUCGCUGGCAAGGCUGCGAGAAUGAGGAGAAUAUGGCUACCCCUAUGGGACUGGAAGAUCGAUGCCGAAUUUUGUCAUCUAGUAACCAAGCAGAGAUCACCCUGCUGUCGGCUCUCUACGUGUCCACUGACCAUUCAUUCAUUUAAUCGUAUUUAUUGAGUGCUUACUGUGUGCAGAGUACUGUAUUAAGCGUUUGGGAGAGUAUGUUUCAAUAAUAAACAGUCACAUUCCUUGCCCACGACGAGUUUAGAGUCUAGAGUUGGGCAGAUGGACACCAAUACAAAUAAAUAAAAUAAAAUUACAAAUAUAUACCUAAGUGCUGUGGGGCUGGGAGAGGGGAAGAGCAAAGGGAGCAAGUCAGGGUGAGGCAGAAAGACGUGGGAGAUGAGGAAAAGUGGGGCUUAGUCUGGGAAGGCCUCUUGGCAGAGAUGGGCCUUCAAAAGGCUUUGAAGUUGCGGGGGAGAGUAAUCAUUUGUCGGAUUUGAGGGAGGGCAGAGGCAAGACGUGAGCUAGGGGUCGGCCGAUGGGAGUUUCUUGCAGGAAAACACUCAGCUCUUUCCAGUAUAAUCCCACCAAUCAAUCAUUGGUUUUUAUAGAGCAUUUACUAUGAACAGAGCACCGUACUAAGCAUUUGGAAACUGCAAGGCACGUCCCCUCCAAGAGGCCUUGCUAAGGCCCCCUUUCCUCUUCUCCCACUCCCUUCUGCGUCGCCCUGACUUGCUCCCUUUAUUCAUUCCCCCCCCCCCCCAGCCCCACAGCACUUAUGUACGUAUCCAUAAUUUAUUCAUAUUAAUGUCAGACUCCCCCUCUAGACUGUAAACUCAUUGUGGGCAGGGAAUGAAUCUGUUUAUUGUACUCCCUCAAGAGCUUAGUACAGUGCUCAGCACAUAGUAAGCGCUCAAUAGACAAGAUUGACUAACCGAUAGUCAACCGAAAGCCCCUCUAGACUGUAAGCUUCUGUGCACAGGGAACAUAUCUAUCAACUCUGUAAUAUUGUACUCUCCCAGGUGCUUAGUACAAUGCUCUGUAUUCAGUAAGCUCGCACUAAAUAUGAUUAAUUGGUUGAUUGAUUGAUUGAUUGAAAUGGUACCUCUAAAGAGGCUUCGUGGAUAGAGCACGGGUCUGGGAGUCAGAAGGUCAUGGGUUCUAAUCCUCGUUCCUCCACUUGUCUGCUGGGUGACCUUGGGCAAGUCGCUUCACUUCCCUAUGCCUCGAUUACCUCAUCUGUAAAAUGGGGAUUGAGACUGGGAGCGCCACGUCGGACAGGGACCGUGUCCAACCCGAUUUGCCCGUAUCCACCCCAGCGCCUGGUACGGUGCCUGGCACACACUCAGCACUUCACAAAUACCACAGUUAUCAUUUUCUCGGUCCAGCUCUGGUUGGUCUAAACA